rnacentral:rRNA from 1 species
UACGUAGGGGGCAAGCGUUGUCCGGAUUUAUUGGGCGUAAAGAGCUCGUAGGUGGUUCGGUAAGUCGGAUGUGAAAUCUCCAGGCUCAACCUGGAGGGGUCAUUCGAUACUGCCGUGACUAGAGGUCGGUAGGGGAGUGUGGAAUUCCUGGUGGAGCGGUGAAAUGCGCAGAUAUCAGGAGGAACACCCGUAGCGAAGGCGGCGCUCUGGGCCUUUCCUGACGCUGAGACGCGAAAGCGUGGGGAGCGAACCGG